UACGUAGGGGGCAAGCGUUGUCCGGAUUUAUUGGGCGUAAAGAGCGUGUAGGCGGCUUGGUAGGUCCGCUGUGAAAACUCGAGGCUCAACCUCGAGAUGUCGGCGGAAACCACUUGACUAGAGUCCGGAAGAGGAGAGUGGAAUUCCCGGUGUAGCGGUGAAAUGCGCAGAUAUCGGGAAGAACACCUAUGGCGAAGGCAGCUCUCUGGGACGGUACUGACGCUGAGGCGCGAAAGCUAGGGGAGCAAACGGG
rnacentral:rRNA from 1 species